rnacentral:lncRNA from 13 species
AAAGUGCUGGAAUUACAGGUGUAAGCCACCAAACCCCACCUCACUGUUAUGGAUUUGUGCUUAGAUGUCCCUUGGAACCUCUCCUGAGAAAGGAACGCAGGCUAGGUCUUUGCAGAACCAGACGGUGGAUGCUUCAGGAAGACAUAUUUCAGCUCCAUUUUUAUCCCUCGACUGAUUUUCUCCAUUACCACUGAGCAGCAGUUGAGAGCGGCUGUUCUCUGCAGUAUUUAUGGUAAUGCAGGUUAAUGUCUGAGUUCGAGGAGCUCAAUUAGCAAAUUCAUGGACAAGGGGGUCCGUUCAUGCUUCUCUUGUGAAGCUCGAUGAUUCAUUAGCCACAGGGAGACUCCGGGUUUCGUGUCCGCAUACCAAAUGCCAGCCACUGCUCUCCAGGCAUGGUGCUUGGCUCAGCCAUGGCACUCAGGGAGCCAGUGACUCUGUUUCCUGCACCAUUCAUAGUGCUUGAUACCGAGUAAGGCCUCCAUAUUUCUUUGAGACUCAGCACAGUGUACAUGGUAGGCACCUCUAAACAUUUAAUAAAUUAAUUAAUCGCUUCA